GAUUGCAGAAGCGCCGAAAUGAACACUGAGUUGGAUUCACGUGAAUUGCUCAUGGGCGAGCUAGUAGCACUUCAAGAAGAACUAGCUGGAUGGCUUGUGGACUACGUGGUGAAGCCAGGAUCUGAGUACAGCAUAAUCUAGGUGUAAUGUCUAGAUCGUAUCGUUCUUGUCAAGCAUUGUAAUAUAUUUGGUGUAUGGACUAGAUGUUCUUAAACUUGAUGCGUGGACUCUAUAUUUUUUAUUAUGAUGUUUGAACUCUCUCAUUUGAUUUCUUCCAUGUCUACGAGAAUUUAUGCAAAGGACCAAAGAAUCUGUGGUCGUGGUUUAUCAAUGAUGAAGUUGCUGAUAAUGUUUGUACUUCUAAUUCUACCUUGCUUUAACUAGCACUGGCUCUCGUUGCCUUCUCUUAUUUGCAUCGCACCCAGGAUUGAUCAUAUAAGC